UCAGCGCUGCUGACGUUGGUGUCUGUAUUCAUGCACAUGCAUGUGGAAGCCUGCGCGCUUUCGACACGGGGAGUUUAAGAAGAUGGAACCUGUUCUUGAUGGGACAACAGGUGUCAGAAAUCAGCUUGUGUCUGGAUCAUCUGUGGGUUGGAGGAAAACCCUGACAGCUCGUCUCACCUGCAGCGGGUCGGAUCCAGUUAACGCUGGUCCGUCUCAGACUGUAACUCCCUGAGCUCGUAAAUCGCUGCUAAGGUGAAGUUCACAGAUGAGCAGCUAACAGCUAACAGCUAACAGCUAACAGCUAACGCUCACACACACGAGGUCUGACUCAAAGAGAAACAAACAGUUCUGUCAGAACAGAACCAGUCAGCAGCAGGGACCCGCUGCCCAAUCUGCAUGAGGAGCCUGAUCUGAAGCCCGAUCAGUCGACGAUCGCAGCAACUGGAAUCGCCUGAAAAAACCCGUGUGGAUGGUGUCAGCUGAUCCACGAAGGUAAAGCCUGGAGGAAAAAGUGGUUUAAGGUAAAACCCUUAGCUCUCACGUGGUCCCAUGAUGAUCAGACGGAAGCUGACGGGAAAGGACUGUGCUUUCCUCAAGUUGCUGCUAAUAAAUAAAGAUAAAUGAAAUGAAGACA
rnacentral:lncRNA from 1 species